GCUGUUAAGGGUUCGUAGUUGAAUACGGAGUUCUUGGGAGUUUUCGCGCAUUCGUGCGCUUUCGUCCCUACUCUGUCAUAGCUGGGACCGGGGCCGUGCGGAGGAUCGCCUUCAUUGAUGGUCCGUGCUGUUGGGUGAAGAGCUCAACAUAUACGCGUGCGCCGCACGCUAGGCCGCCCCCGUUAUCACUGUGAAGAAAACAGCGUGUUCAAGGCAGCCGCUUGCGGUUGUAUGACAAGCAUGGAAUGACAAAGCAUCGACCAGAAGGUCAAUCUUUUGUCGGUUUUUAGGAUCUUUUGGAAAAUUGGUGGGCAAAGCAUUCCUUCUCUGUUCGCAGCGUUGGAACUUUGUCGACACGGGAUUAAUGGGGGUUGUCGGGGGAAAACGUAUCUGAGCGUGAGAGGUGAAAUUCUUGACCGCUCGGGGACGAACUUAUGCGAAGGCAUUUUCCAAGUAUACCUUCCUCAAUCAAGACUAAAGUG
rnacentral:rRNA from 1 species